UUGUGGCAGACCCGAAAUCCUAUCGAUAAAAUGAUUAAUCUGUUGAUGUUUUUUUUUGCAUUUGAAAAAUAAUUGAAAAGAAAUAAUAAUCAGAUCAGGUUUACUAAGGUUCAUAAUUCAGGAUAUAGCCUUGAAUUAUAUGGAUAGUCUUUAGAGACAUAUAGACUAUUCACCAGUCAAUUGUAACCACCCCAGGUCCGGGGGAUACCGUGUGUGGUUACAUUUGACUGGUGCAUUAGAAUGACUUUAAAUAUAUAAAUGACCUAGUCCACCUAAAUGGCCAACAACGAGUCUUUUGAUGUUUUUUAUACCAUGGCAGGCUCAUGACGUCCACCAUCCCAGUAAAUAGUAGCGAACGGUCCUUGCACAGAGAAUCCUGGCGGCCACAAUUCUGAAAUUAUCUCCGUUAUAAAUUGAAAUUACUAUGAACAUAUUAUUGCCUACUAUUAAAUCACAUAUUUAUUUAUGUCAUUAUGCCAAAAAAGAUGUUCAGAUGUCAUAACACACUUACAUGUGAUGAUUGUUUAUCAGGUAUACCGAUAUCUGUGAAUCUUGGACAAAUCUGACAGGUUGUGUACAUGACAUGGUAUUCGUGACCAAGAAUGUAAUUAUGUGAAAAUAACAACUAAUGACAAAUUAAAUCCUGUUCAGAUCAAUGUCGGGUAUAUAAUGAACAACUCAUUAUUAUUCAAAAUCGAUGCAUUAUAAUACGAUAUAUUCUUUCGCCCGGUGUUGAAUGGUGGAGAGUUUAAGCAUUACAGGGAUACACAAGAAUGUCAAAAUAAUGAAAAAGUAUCCCUGAUCGCUCAUUAUUGUAGCUAAUAAAUGACCGUGGUGGUUUACUAACAGCACCAAAAAAUGAAGCUUAAGAAUGGAAUGAUGCUCUGUGUACACCUAGAACUCUCAUUCAUACAUGAAUGUAGAAAUUCAACUAGUGUAAAUCAUUUGUUGACUCUUUUCAGCUGCAGUGAAAAGAUGAGCAUUUUAACCUGAUGAUGUUGUAUGUAACUGUGGACCAAGAGCUGGCUCCCAAGUCCUACUUCACUGAUCAGGGCUGGCCGUUCAAAAAAACAGGUUUACCAGACAACGCAAAAACUUUUUCUUCACAGGACAAUGUGACAGAUCUUUCUGUGAUGACUGAAGAAGUUGGACGUGUUUUCCUUUCCAAAUUGGAAUGAUGUUUCAUUGGAACAUUCAAGCAGGAAUCUGACGAAGGAUAUGGAGAUUGUUAAGAAUGAUGGUGAUGAAAUGAAUGAAACUACGCGAUAAUAACAUACAAGUACAGGUUGACAAGGAAGAAAGAAAAAAUUCAACACAGCCUGACGAAAACAGUGAAGAAGAAACCUGUCUUAUGGAAAGAAAGAAAAUGAAAAUAACGAUAUGGAGACUGACUAAAAUUACAUGAAAUAAUUUGUUGAAAGGAUAUCAAAUGAUAUAAUGGAUAAAAGAUCAGAAAUUGAAGUUAGUGAGGUAUUUUCUAGUUUGACAACAUUUAAUGAAACAGGUUCAAUUGAGAGACGAUUCGAAAAUGAUUCUAACAUUUUCUUUUGCUUUUAACGAAAUUGGUGGUAUUCAUAUAAAUGAUGAAUCAAAAGCUGUUAUUCAGGUGAUCAGAUAACUGAGUCGCUGUCAACAAAAUUAAAGAAAAAGAAAACAGAAAAGAAUAUUAUUUUUGCAUGUCACAUUUGCGAGAAAAGGUACUGUGAGAAACACUAUUUGAAACAGCACAUAAGAACUAUGCACGAAAACAUUAAAAUCAUUUGUGAAUACUGUUCGAAGGAAAUUAACAAUAGCAAGGUUUAUAACGCUCACAAGAGGAAGCAUCAUACUCUCAACAGUAAAUAUGUUUGUGAAGUAUGUAAUAAGAACUGUUUUGAGAAAGAGUAUUAUACUGUACAUAAUUAUGAACAUGCAUUCUGAGAUCCGACCAUAUGUCUGUGACAUAUGCAAAAAUUCCUAUGCAUACAAGACAAACUUCUCUAGAUAUGUGAGAAGCUAUGGAGAUAAGAAAUUAUAUCCCUGUAGAGAGUGUGAGAAGAGGUUAAACAGUAAUGAAUUUUUGAAAGAACAUGCAAGAGGUGCCCAUGGGUCUUGUACAUUGAUGUGUAAAUGUGGCAAGCAGUUUUCAUGGAGGUCUUCAUUUGCACGACAAAAAAGAGAGUGCCCUGCGCAUAACUGGAAAUAACCACUUGUUAAAUUAAAUGUUAAUUGUGUUUUCUUAAGACAUGUACAUCAAUAAAAUUUAUAUUGAUUUUGCCAUUUAAGUUAACUUCAUGAUUAGAGUAGUGUUUUUACUGCUUAUAUUCAUAUUUAAGAAUCAUAAAUAAUACAAAUAUAAACAUAGGAUAUAUUUGGCUUACUUCCCUUUGUAAACAUAUUUUCUGAGUAGACACUGAUUGUCACAUAGGGAGAGUAUCCAUCUGGGAUGGUGAACGAACUUCUCAUGAUAAAUGCAGCUUUGUUUGUCUCUUAUGUGAUAUGCUUAUAAGUUAUAACCAAAAAGAUAACUCUUACCCUGAUCGAUACUGUCACCUGGGUAGGCACAUGAAUAUAAGUACAUAUAUAUAUAUAUAUACAGAAAUAAUAUAUUCAGCAAUGCUUUUAUGGGUCUUUCCCCUGUCGUUCAUUUCAGCUGGAAAUGAAACAGAUAUUGUCCAUUUAUCUUUGGACAGUUUUACCAUGACUAUUUUGUUGCUUAUAAUUUGUCUCUGGUUUUAUUGUAUAAAUACUAAAACUUUAGUACGUUUCACCAAUUAUACUGAAAGCAUUCUGCUUAUCUGAGUAAUUUAAUAAAACAACUCCUCAGAUUAAAAUAAGUAAGAAUGAAUAUUGAUCUUUUCUUGAGACAAUGCAUUGUAGGUCAAAGACAAAGAAUAACAACUAUAACCCUUUAAUUCAGACCAUGUACUUGAGGAAUCUGAUCAAUUAAUCUCUUUGAUUUUUAUCAAUACUAUCAUGAUGUGUCAAUUGUUUGAAUGCUUUAUUGUUAAGAAUUUAAGAAUUUAUUGAAGUCAUUGAGAGUCAAUCAAAUAAUACGAAUCUUGCAGCAUUUCAAAAUUUGUAUAUUAAGUGUUCAGUGGAAAUUUAUCAUAUUGAAAUAGUUUGGAACUACAGGACACUAAACAAGCAGUCAUGUCAAGCAUUUUAAGUGGAGUGAGUGACAUUUUACUUUUAUUUAUAGAAUUGGACUUGUCCGCUUGCUUUGUCAAUCUCUCUGAAGAUCUUGUUUCAUGCCUUUAAACCUGCAGCAGCCAUUUGUAUAUACCUGGAUAUGUUUUCAAUAGGUUUCACUUAAUUUGCACAUUUAUAAGAUUUGAUUGGCCAGUGGUAUUUAUUGGAUAUAUAUCAACCAUUUAAUAAACAUAUCGGACACUUUAUAUGUGUGUGCACUGUGCAGUAUGAUUUGGUUAAAGGUCAAUAGUCUGUCUAUCUAUUUCUGAAAAUACAUACUUUGACCAUUUAACAAUUUAGUGUUCAAGUUUAUAAUUGUUUACACAUUGGUUAGGUUGACCAAGUAAAAUAUAACUACAACGAACUGCACAUCAACAUGCAAUACUAAAAUUACCUCAUUGGCCAAUUUGUAUUGAGGUUUGUUAACACCUCCAAACGUGUUGCGUUACAAGCCACAAACCACGCCUCUUGAACUGCCUUUGGGCAUGCGCAAAGGUAUCAAAUAAUGAAACUGCUUAUAACAGGAUGCUUUCCAGGUUAAAGUCAUAUUAAACAAUUAAUGCAGAUAAACCUAAAUAGAGGCAUUACAUAUUAGAAAAAUACUUAAAAAAGUUAAGUUGUGUACUGCUUGGGGUUUACACUUUGUAAGAGUUAUUGCCCUUGCAUUAUUGAAAUAUACAGAACCUACACGUUUGUUGCACAAAUAUCUCCAUAAGUGGUUGGCAUUAACUUCUGAAACUUCAUCAUAGGAACAUAAUAAUUUGUUCAGCAUGUAAAUUUAAUUGUUCACCUGGGUUUUUGUGUGACAUGUCAUGGAGCAAGACCACAGUUCUUACCUUAGACUUAGUGGACAAUGAAUGCAAAAACCUUCAGUCUCACAUAUUUUAAAAAGUUGAGUAGACUUUGGCUAUUGAAGCAUCAUAUGUAAUUACUAUGAAAGCUGACAACCUUCACAAACACUGGAAAAUUGUCCAUUGAGUUAUGGCUCUUGAUUAAUUGGUAAUAGGACUGGCAAAUCUUGUAAAGCUGUAAGUUCAUGCAGCUGUGGACAUUUAUUUAGUAAUUGUUCAGCAUAGGGGAGGGGGGAUGCUUUUUGUGCUGCUUCACUAAAGUUAUGUGAACUUUGUUUUAUCUCAUUUGUCCUGGUAAAUGGACUACCAAUUUAUUUAGCAUAUUUGCAAGGUCAGAACACCCCAUGGAACUUUUUAAUGCUGAAAUAAAAAUUAGACAAUCUUAAAUUAAAAAUAUUUUCCAUUGUCAACAAAUGAUCACCUUUUGCAUACAUGAUUAGUUCAUUCCUGAUUUUGAAAUUAAAUAAGUGAUUCUUCUUUGUAGUUUAAUAGACUUCUCAUAUUUAAUGCGCAAAAUGAACAUAAUCUAAAUCUUCCUGCUUGCAAAAUUAGGUUUGUCUAAAUUCCAAUCACAUACUUUUCAACAAAGACUGUAAGCAAGGAUUUUCUUGUUUUGUUUGAUAUUUAAGUACAGCGAUAGAAAUAAUCAAUCUUUUUUACACAAUGCUUUUAUACAACUUAAGAAAAGCCAAACAUUGGAACAAAUUACGUAUUGAUAUUGAAACGGGACAUCCUAUUGUUAACAUUGUCAUAAAUAAUGGUUACAGACAUAAAUAUGAAAGUAUUUGACAUUAGCGUCACGGAUAGGGUGGGAAUUGUUUGAAUUAUGAUGUUCAAUCUAGUAAUAAUACAAUUACCCUUGUAAGAAAUCUAUAGUGCAUUGGUUUUAUUUGUCUGUCUAUGUAUUUCUCCAGUACAUUGAUAUUAUUUGUAAUGAUAUCAUCUGAACAAUUCAAUAUUGACUGAUUUCCUGUGAGCUUCAGUAAACUUAACAGGUGGACAUUUGAAAUAAAUCCAGUGUCCAAAGAUUUAGUUGGUUGAAUUUUGUAUCAAAAUGCUCAUUUACCUAUUAUUUCAACUGCCAGUAUUAUUCAUUUCAUGAGAACUGUAAUAAUUAAGGUAUUUUUUAAGCUUGUAUCUUGCUUGAAGAAAAACAAUUUAUGUAUUGUGAUAGCCCUGGGCUAUACGUUCAAAAUUUAUUCACCUUGUAUUUACAUGAAACUUAGUCCACAUGUUGCUAGAGAAAUUUAAUGCACAUGUUGAGCAAGGCCAGAGUGUAACUUUUGGCUUAAACAGGUGUGGAGUCAUGCCUCUUAUAAUGAAAAAACAAAAACAGACGAGCACUGGCAUCCGCUUAAGGUACUCUUGCGUUGCUUGUCCUUUCUUUGUGAAGAAAAUAUGUUAAGGUUUGAUGAUUGACAAAGUCUUUGUCGAUAUUGGCGUGCAAAAACAUUAACAUUAGCCAGAGCUAUAAAACUACUGAAGAUAUUUAAAUGAAACUGAAUUGCACACAGGCUGCCAGAGAUGAUAGGCAAAUGUGUUACAAGGCCGCUAAUAAAGGCUUUAAUGAUUGUUCUGUUAUGUCCCUUUUGAUUGAGAAAGAAAGCAAAUGAUGUUAAUUUUCUAUGUUGUGUUUUGAAAUUAUUUGUGUGUUUCAUUUAUUGGUAAUUGUAUUGUUGUCAAUAAUUUAUUAAAUUAAUAAAUAUCAAAAAUAGAUA